rnacentral:lncRNA from 1 species
UCAAGAAAGAACUUGAUUUAAAAUUAAUAUGUGAAAAAUAAAUGAAGUUUGAAAACUAGCAAUUAAGAAACAAAUUAUGAUGUUAUUAGCAUUACUUAUUGACACCAUUAUACAACAUUCUAAUAUGUCAAGCACACAAGUAAAAUUAUUCACGAAGCAUGAAAUAAGAAACUUACAAUUCGCCCUGCUUCAUGAGAAACAUUUUGGAGUUCUUCAUACAUCUCUAGUCACAUAUUAAUAACUUUUAUAAGGAGUCUGUACGCAGAAAUACAAGUAAAGCAAUACAAAGGUAAUUUAAUAUCAAAUACUGGUCACUGAAUGGGAAGAUCGUCCACAUCCAAACAUUUCUAUAAAUAAGAACUACAACAUAAUAAGAGAUAAGCAUAUGUUUUGACAGCCAAAGUAACCCCUAAGCAAUUCAAAAGUGCAGAAUUCAUAUAUCAUCCAAAAACAAACUAAAACAUACUUGCAUGACCUAUGAUAUGGUAAAAUGGAUGCGCCAAAGCAAAAAAAGUAAUCAAUCGAAAAGAAAUGAAAUACAGAAAAACCUAAUAUAAAUCCACAUCAUUCCUUAACUUAUGAUACCCUACAAUAGCCAUGACAAAAAGCAUCAGAAUACAGGCAAAUAAGCCCUAACAAAGCUCACAGGGGCAAAACAAUAAUUAUAAAUUAAUCUAAGUGAGAGCAAACGUGUUGAACCUGGCCCGAAAAGCCUCUUACGGAACCCUCCGCCGCUUUCAUAAGGAGACCUUCCAUCUUCCGCCGUGGCCAUAGGAAACUGCAGCUGUCGAGUAGCAAAGAGAAAGUGAAAG